AUGACACUGGAUCUGAAGCUUACUUUGGAAAGGGAACAAAACUCACUGUUUUGGCCUCGUAUCAGUGUGAACAACUACGAUCCUGCUUACUUUGGCAGUGGCACCAGACUGACAGUGUUGGAACAAGACCGUGCAAUCACUGAACCAACAGUGAAAGUGCUUCCACCUUCAAAAAAGGAGUGUCAGAAAGACGGAGCAGGGAAGAAGACCAUUGUUUGUGUGGCCAGAGGAUUCUACCCAGACCAUGUCAGUGUUUACUGGCAGGUCAACUUGGAGAAUGUCACCGAUGGUGUGGCGACUGAUAACGCUGCCCUGCGGGAAGGCGAGUAUUACAGAAUCACCAGCAGGCUGAGGGUCUCAGGAAAAGACUGGUUCACACUCAACAAAAGAUUCACCUGCAUCGUCAACUUCUUCAAUGGAAACGCAACAAGCAGUCAUGAAGCUACAGUUCUGGGUGUUAAAGGUAAAGAAGAAGGCAUUACAAGAGGGUAUUAUUUGAAGAUCUCACAGACGGCCAAACUCUCCUACGCUCUUCUAAUCAUCAAGAGCAGCCUCUAUGGAGCCUUUGUGGCCUUUCUGGUGUGGAAGCUUCAGGUUAGUCCCACAGACCAUAGACUGGGAGUAUUUGUAUACAUAAACACAGUGAUUAACAACUUUAACUUGGACUUCAUCAUCAUAUUUUAUGGGGUAAGUGAAUGA